ACCGAAAACUUGUGUUUUCGUCCAUGUAAAAUCUGUCAAAUGAAAACACGUCGGAAACCAGUUUUCGUUGAAAACUACUUGCAAACUCACGUUCCACUCGUUCCAAUCAAUGCCUGCACUAGUUUAUUCGAUAUUAGUGGUAGACAUAUUUUGUCAUCCCUAAAUUGUCACUUGUUAUUUAUUUAUGUGGAUUUAGUGAAAAUAUGGAGAAAACUAAGUACAAGAAAAGGAAUGUUUGGAAUGACAGGGGAGAAGCCUUGCUAAUAGAUAUUUGGCAAACAAAAGUCGGCGCACUUCGCGGGCACAGAAAAAAUAGCCAUAUUAUUGAGGAAAUGGCAUUGGAGAGGCACGGUGUGCACAGCUGCUGAAAUAAAGAGAAAAAGGCACAACCUGUCCCAAAAGUUUAGAAAGGAAAAGCAAGCAGUCGGUCCAACUGGCGGUUCACCCUCACAGUGGCACUUAUUCAGUAAAAUGAGUGCCCUGCUUUCGCCAUAUCGGAGUUACGGAAGGCUUAUUGGAAGAAAGCUUUAGCAAAGGCAAUAGUUCAAUAUGCAGAUCCACUAACUCCGAAUCGGUACGAAUUUCGGAGGAACCGGCUGCAUCUCCUUCUUCAUGUGUUGUUGAUGGAUCUCCAUUGCCAUCACCGUCUUCAACACCUUCGCCGUCAGCAAUUAGCAUAUCGACACCUUCGCCUUCGGCAAUUACCAUGUCGUCUCCCGAGCCGUCAACAUCGACCAUGUCACCCAAUCCGUCAGAAAUCAGCGAGCCUACAAAUAAAAGAAGAAAUCAUUUUCAAAGUAUUUUAUUAAAAAAGUUUGACAAAAUAGAAAAAGAGCUGGAGAAGUCUAACAAAGAUUAUGAAGAAUCAAGCCAACAGUUAAAAAUAAUGACAGAGAAACUGGUUGAAAACGAUAACAAAAAAAACCCAACUAAUGGAAGAGUAUGUUAUAGAAACGAAAGAAGUUAACAAAGCUAUACUUCAAUUUGUAAAGAAUUAAAAAAAUUGCAUACAGUGGCGAACAAAAGUAUUGGCACAGAGAUUUUGUUCGCAAUAUAUGCAAAGUUUUUUAUUGUAAUUUCUUUUCGAUGAUGUUUUAUAAAAACAUAUAUCAUACACCGAAAAACAUAGAAAUAAAAUCUCUAACUUUCGUAAUUUUUUUAGCAAGUUCAAAUUUGCCCUUGACUAAAAUUGAAUGGGCUAUAAAACUGCAUGCCAAGAAUUUUUCCCAAAAAUCUGAACAGAAAGUUG